AAAUUACCCCCUCCGUUCUAAAUUAUUUAUCUUGGAUUUGUCUAGAUACAGAUAUAUCUAGACUCAUUUUAGUACUAGAUACAUCCGUAUCUAGACAAAUCUAAGACAAGUAAUUCGGAACGAAGGGAGUAGAAG
rfam:Triticum aestivum genome assembly, contig: Triticum_aestivum_CS42_TGACv1_scaffold_291663_4AL